rnacentral:misc_RNA from 1 species
GAUGAAGAACGUAGUAAAAUGCGAUACUUGGUGUGAAUUGCAGAAUCCCGUGAACCAUCGAGUUUUUGAACGCAAGUUGCGCCCGAAGCCUUUUGGCCGAGGGCACGUCUGCCUGGGCGUCACGCAUCGCGUCGCCCCCCACAAUUCUCCGUAAAGGGAACGUGUGUUUUGGGGGCGGAUAUUGGUCUCCCGUGCUCAUGGCGUGGUUGGCCGAAAUAGGAGUCCUUUCGAUGGACGCACGAACUAGUGGUGGUCGUAAAAACCCUCGUCUUUUGUUUCGUGCUGUUGCUCGCAAGGUAAUCUCUUUAAAAACCCCAAUGUGUCGUCUCUUGACGACGCUUCGACCGCGACCCCAGGUCAGGCGGGACUACCCGCUGAGUUUAAGCAUAUCAAUAAGCGGAGGA